rnacentral:rRNA from 1 species
AGAUUGAACGCUGGCGGCAUGCCUUACACAUGCAAGUCGAACGGCAGCACGGGAGCAAUCCUGGUGGCGAGUGGCGAACGGGUGAGUAAUAUAUCGGAACGUGCCCAGUCGUGGGGGAUAACGCAGCGAAAGCUGUGCUAAUACCGCAUACGAUCUAUGGAUGAAAGCGGGGGAUCGCAAGACCUCGCGCGAUUGGAGCGGCCGAUAUCAGAUUAGCUAGUUGGUAGGGUAAAAGCCUACCAAGGCGACGAUCGUGUAGCUGGUCUGGAGAGGACGACCAGCCACACGUGGAACUGACGACACGGUCCAGACUCCGUACGGGAGCAGCAGGUGGGUAAUUUGGACAAGUACGGGGAACCCUGACUCCAGCCACGUCCCGCGUGUGCG